ensembl:lncRNA
AUGCCGUUUCACCCGUGCGUUUCUGGGUGCGGUCGUUACCUGGCACCGGGUGAUGGUCACGAUCGCUGCCUCACGUGUCUGGGCGUCGAGCACGCUGAGGUGGCUUUCGUGGAUGAGUCAUGUUCUCACUGCGGGAAUAUGACCAUCUCGGAGCUGCAAACCAGGCUCCGCUACCUUCAGGGGGGCGGAGUCCCGUUGCCGCGGCCGCGAUCUGGGGCUCGUUCUGGCGGCCGACAGACGAGAACCACUUCCGGCAGUAGCGCGAGUGGGUUGAGGAUCACAGUGGUGGCAAACCCCGCAGGGAACCAACCCUCUGGGGACCAUCACUCCUCUAGCACCUCCGAUCCAGUGGAGCAACCCACAGAACGCGCUGGGCCCUCUUCAAGGAGCGUACCAGCGGUAUCCAGUGGGACUCCCCCCGACCAGAUGUCGAUCUCAGCAUCGGAGGGAGAGCUGUCGGAUCACGGUUCGGUUGCGCUACCGUCCUCUGGGAUGGUGACAAAGCCUGAUUCGGAUCCCGAAGUGGCAGCUAUGCUUUCCCGGGCCGCCGAGAGGGUAGGGCUCGAGUGGAAUCCCCCACCGCGUCCCGAGCCCUCACGGCUGGAUGAUUGGUUUCUCGGGGUGGUGCGCGCUGGUUCUCAGCGCCCCACCCCAGUGCCUUUCUUUCCGGAAGUGCAUGACGAGCUCACCAAGUCGUGGAUGGCACCUUUUACUGCCAGAAACCAGCCGGUGGGCUCCUCCUCCCUCACCACCCUCGAGGGCGGUGCAGCGAAGGGGUAUUCAGGAAUCCCGUCGGUGGAGCGGGCGGUAGCGAUGCAAUUGUGUCCUAAGUCCGCCGCCUCCUGGCGUGGAGACCCGGUGCUCCCUUCCCGGGCCUGUAGGCACUCGUCUGGUCUGACCGGCAGUGCCUAUGUGGCUUGCGGGGAAGCUGCUUCCGCCUUACACGCUAUGGCGUUACUGCAUGUGCACAAGGCUAAGGCACUGAAAGACCUGCACGAGGGUGGUCACGAUCCAGCGCUUCUGGAAGAGCUCCGAACCGCCACUGACCUUGCGCUUCGAGCGACGAAGGUCACCGCGAGUUCGCUGGGUCGUGCGAUGUCCACAUUAGUGGUCCAGGAGCGCCAUCUGUGGCUGGGUCUGGCAGACAUGAGGGACACCGACAAGGUCCGGUUUCUCAAUGCCCCUGUGUCCCAGACCGGCCUCUUCAGCGACGCAGUCGAGAUUUUGGCCCAGCAAGUCUCGGCUGCCCAGAAGCAGACUGAGGCGAUCCGACACAUCCUGCCCCGGCGGGCAGCUGCUGCUAUCUCCACCCACCCGCCGGCUGCAGUGCCCCAGCCUGCUCGUCGCCGAGGGCAGCCCCCUGCAUCCGCCCCUGCUCACGCGUCGCAUCUGCAGCAGCCUCCAAGUGGUGCCGUUGAGCUGGGCACAGGCAGGCUGCCCCUCCCGUCCUGGCCCCCGUCAAACCUGACGGUAAGCAGAAGAGCAAGAGGCCCUGGGACGGGUGACCCAGAGAGAGGUAGCUGCUUUCUGGGGGAUGGUGUAGGCACCUCUCCCUCCCCUGGAGGAGGGCCAGGCGGAGAAUUUGGAAAUCUCGACAGGAGAGUAGUUUCCUCCCUCUCUGGGUCCCAGGAGGGCACGGAGAGUUGCGGACGGCCAAGCACCGGACCUCACUCAUCCUCCUCCUUCGCCAGAUGGCAGCUGCGGGCGGUUCGAGAGCGUCAACAAAGGCCCUACUCACGCACCCUCUGCCAACCCGUGGAACCAGGUGAGCCCUGCACCCCACACUCGCACCACACUCCGGCCUGCUCACAAGCCGCCCGAGUUGGGCCCCUGUGUUCCACCUCGCUGCCCCACUGCGGGUACAGCUGUGGUUCUGCUGGUCCCGCUUGUACGGUUCUUAGGCGCCUGGUCAGCGCUACCCAGCCCGUCUCGCUGGCUUCUGCGAACCAUCAGCCUCGGCUAUGCGAUUCAGAUCGCCCGGCUUCCCUCCAAGCUCUGCGGUGUCCGCUUCACUACAGUGGAAGCGUCCGAUGCCCCUGUCUUACGGAAAGAGAUCGCAGUCCUACUGGCGAAGGCCGCGAUAGAGCCGGUCCCUCCAGCCGAUAUGAGGAAGGGGCUUUACAGCCCGUACCUCAUUGUACCCAAGAAAAGCGGUGGGUUACGACCGGUCUUGGAUCUGCGAGUUUUGAAUCGGGCCCUCUAUCGGCUACAGUUCAAAAUGUUGACACAGAAACGCAUUUUCAGGUGCGUCCGUCCCCAAGAUUGGUUUGCAGCGAUCGACCUGAAGGACGUGUACUUUCAUGUGUCCAUACUUCCGUGCCACAGACCUUUUCUGCGGCUUGCGUUCGAAGGACUAGCAUAUCAGUACAAGGUCCUGCCCUUCCGGCUGUCCCAGUCUCCCUGUGUCUUCACGGAAGUCACGGAGGCAGCUCUCGUUCCUCUCAGAGAGCAGAGUGUUCGCAUUCUCAAUUGGCUGAUACUAGCACAGUCUCGAGAUCAGUUGUGCGAGCACAGGGAUGUGGUGCUCCGGCACCUGAGCCUGUUGGGCCUUCAGGUCAGCUGGGAAAAGAGCAAACUCUCACCAUUGCAGAGGAUCUCUUUUCUCGGUAUGGAGUUGGAUUCGGUCGAACAGACAGCACGCCUCACAGAGGAACGUGCGCGGUCGGUGCUAGCCUGCUUGAAUACGUCCAAGAGCAGGACGGCGGUCCCACUGAAACUCUUUCAGAGGCUCCUGGGGCAUAUGGUGGCCACAGCGGCACUUACACCGCUCGGCCUAUUACAUAUGAGACCGCUCCGGCACUGGCUUUAUGGCCGAGUCCCGAGGUGGGCGUGGAAGCGCAGCACUCACCGGGUCCAAGUUACACCGGCCUGUCGCCAAACCCUCACUCCGUGGUCAGAUCUGGCAUUCCUAUGGGCAGGGGUGCCCCUAGAGCAGAUCUCCAGGCAUGCUGUGGUUUACACGCAUGCCUCCACCACCGCCGGGGGGCCACGUACAACGGGCAUGCAGUCUCAGGGGUUUGGACGGGCCCGCAGCUGCAGUGGCACAUCAAUUGCCUAGAGUUGUUAGCAACGCACCUUGCCUUGAACCGUCUCAAAGGUCUCUUACGAGGCAAGCCUGUGCUGGUCCGAUUGGACAACACUGCGACUGUUGCGUACAUCAACCACCAAGGUGGUCUGCGCUCUCGUCGCAUCUUGCAACUCGCCCGCCACCUCCUCCUUUGGAGUCAGAAGGUUCUGAGGUCACUUCGUGCUGUUCACAUUCCAGGCCUGCUCAGUCGUACAGCUGACGAGCUGUCUUGA